ACUCAUACCUGGCAGGGGAGAUACCAUGAUCAUGAAGGUGGUUCACCCAGGGCGAAAUCAGCCAUUGCACUCCGAUUGUGCUGACUCCGUCCGAAUUCCCCAAAUGUGGAAGUCUGACUGCAUAAUUUGUAGGAGUGGGGACUGCGUCCAGCGCUCUCCCCU